ACACGUGGGCAACCUGCCCAAAAGAGGGGGAUAACACUUGGAAACAGGUGCUAAUACCGCAUAACCAUAGUUACCGCAUGGUAGCUAUGUAAAAGGUGGCUAUGCUACCGCUUUUGGAUGGGCCCGCGGCGCAUUAGCUAGUUGGUGGGGUAAAGGCUUACCAAGGCAAUGAUGCGUAGCCGAACUGAGAGGUUGAUCGGCCACAUUGGGACUGAGACACGGCCCAAACUCCUACGGGAGGCAGCAGUAGGGAAUCUUCCACAAUGGGCGAAAGCCUGAUGGAGCAACGCCGCGUGGGUGAAGAAGGUCUUCGGAUCGUAAAACCCUGUUGUUAGAGAAGAAAGUGCGUGAGAGUAACUGUUCACGUUUCGACGGUAUCUAACCAGAAAGCCACGGCUAACUACGUGCCAGCAGCCGCGGUAAUACGUAGGUGGCAAGCGUUAUCCGGAUUUAUUGGGCGUAAAGGGAACGCAGGCGGUCUUUUAAGUCUGAUGUGAAAGCCUUCGGCUUAACCGGAGUAGUGCAUUGGAAACUGGGAGACUUGAGUGCAGAAGAGGAGAGUGGAACUCCAUGUGUAGCGGUGAAAUGCGUAGAUAUAUGGAAGAACACCAGUGGCGAAAGCGGCUCUCUGGUCUGUAACUGACGCUGAGGUUCGAAAGCGUGGGUAGCAAACAGGAUUAGAUACCCUGGUAGUCCACGCCGUAAACGAUGAAUGCUAAGUG
rnacentral:rRNA from 1 species